rnacentral:rRNA from 1 species
CAAUAGCGUAUAUUAAAGCUGUUGCGGUUAAAAAGCUCGUAGUUGGAUUUCUGUCAAGGACAACUGGUCCGCCCUCCGGGUGAGCUCAUAGUUUGGUCUUGGCAUCUUGCUGGAAACUGUUGCUGCGCUUGGUUGUGUGGUGCAGCUUUCAGCACUUUCACUUUGAGGAAAUUGGAGUGUUUCAAGCAGGCACAUGCCUUUGGACACAGUAGCAUGGAAUAAUUAGAUUGGGCUUUUGCUCCAACUUGUUGGUUCCUGGAGCUGAGGUGAGAAUCAAUGGGGAUUGUUGGGGGCAUCCGAAUUUAGCCGUCAGAGGUGAAAUUCUUGGAUCUGCUAAAGACGGACAACUGCGAAAGCGUUUGCCCAGGAUGUUUUCAUUGA